CUCAUAUCUUGUAUGGUUUGGCGAUUGGCUCUUCUCCUCUGAUUGUUGUUAAAUUUAAUUUAACUUAAUGUUUAUUUUAUUUAACAAACCUGGAUAGUCAUUAUGUAUUGAUUGAAAAACAGAAGAAGCGACGCUUUCGAUUAUUGUUCUGAUGCAUGUAUUGGCCGAAGUAUAUAAUAGUCGGAGCCGAAUCGAAGGCAACAUUCAUUCCUUCUCUUAUCUAACUUGAAUCCGCGUUUCUGAUCAUCUGUCAGCAGAGUAUCUAAGUUGAUGUGGCGUCUUUGUUUUGGACAAAGUAAUCUGCUUCAAACGGUGUCAAAAUUCAAGUGGAUGAGAAUCUCUUAUUGAGCCUGAGGUUAUAGGUUGCUGGCCAGUGAAGUCUUGAAUAAAUAACUUUUGGGAGUUCAAGGUUUUGAACUUUAAUAAUAUCUUUCUUUACAUUAUAUAGUGUUUUCAAAUGGAGUGCACCCAAGAACGAGAUACAAGAUUUUCUGUUGCCGUGUGUUCUGGAGUUCGGCAACAUAGGCAUGCAAGAUUGUUUAGGAGAUUUAAGUUACAACAACAUAGAUUAAGAAGGACCAUUUUGGGGAUCGCCGUUGAGCAGAGGUUUAAAUUUGCUAGGUAUAAGAGAAGUAUUUCUGAGGCAAAUAAGGUUUGGUCGUGCCCUUCAUUUUGGAGAGAGGGAAAGGGACAUUCUUGAGAUGAUAUUGGAAAUGGCUUUUUAUGGAUUGAGUGGAUGGUCGUGUCUUGGAUGUUUGCUGCCUGAAUCACCUGCCUAUGUAUUUCAUGGAGAACAUCUUUCUCCUAGCUAUAUUGGACUUCAAAAUCAUAUUCCCAAUAAUUUACAUCUACAACAUUUGAGGCAAAAAUACCGGGAUGCGAGACAUAAAAGAAUUUUGAUAUUGCAUCAGAAAAGGUUGCGAUUAUUGGCUUCAGUAUCUCAUACUACUCUAUCUAAUAGUUCUGUAGAAGGUCAACAUGUACAACAUGUAAGGUUACAAUACAAAAAUUCGCGAUUUCAAAGACUUUCAAUGUUGUGCCAGAAG